rnacentral:lncRNA from 1 species
AUAAUGUUCUGAUAAAGACACUCUCUCAUGCACUUCUGUAUUUCCAAGCCUUUUAAUUGCUGAACACACCUGGAAAGCUUCACCUCCAAUGGCCAAGUUGUGAGUGAGAAUUAACAUUUUCCAUUCCAAUAGUAUUAUGCAAUCAACAAUGCACUCAUUCAUUUUGAACGAGCGUUACAAAUUUUGAAAACACAAAACUAACUUUGAUUCUCCUACUUAGUCAUUUUCUGGAGCAGCCUCAGGGCUCAGUCUGAAGAAUUUUUUCGUGUUUUUUAAUAUGUAACUUCUAAUAUGAGGUAGUACUUUUAUAUUGCGUUGCAUUUUAGGAAACCAGGGCUACCAAACUGGCAGAGACUCUACUGUUCUUCAAGAGAUAUUGGACUUAGACAGAAGCGAAAGGACCUUUUUCUUUUCCUCUGACAGGACAACUGGAUCGGUGAAUGAAGGUGGCAAAGUACUGAAGAACAGGAUUGACCUUCAACCAAAUAUUUAAGAAUAUAUGCAGACCGUGAUGUGCUCCAAGCUGCAUGAUUCAAUGGGAAGGAAGCACACCACUAUAGGAGGUCAUCAAGAAAGUAAGAUAAAACAGCACUCUGAAAGGAACAGCAGCAGGACAUCACUGAAAAUAUUAUCAAAGAAAGAAAACGGUUUUCUUAAAGGGCAGCACUCUCCAUGGCAGAGGUAA